rnacentral:rRNA from 1 species
AGUGAACGCUGGCGGUAGGCCUAACACAUGCAAGUCGAACGGCAGCACAGUAAGAGCUUGCUCUUACGGGUGGCGAGUGGCGGACGGGUGAGGAAUACAUCGGAAUCUACUUUUUCGUGGGGGAUAACGUAGGGAAACUUACGCUAAUACCGCAUACGACCUACGGGUGAAAGCAGUGGAUCUUCGGACCUUGCGCGAUUGAAUGAGCCGAUGUCGGAUUAGCUAGUUGGCGGGGUAAAGUCCCACCAAGGCGACGAUCCGUAGCUGGCCUGAGAGGAUGAUCAGCCACCCUGGACCUGAGACCCGGUCCAGCCUCCUCCGGGAGGCAGCAGUGGGGAAUCUUGGACAAUGGGCGCAAGCCUGCUCCAGCCAUCCCGCGUGGGUGAAGAAGGCCUUCGGGUUGUAAAGCCCUUUUGUUGGGAAAGAAAAGCAGCAGGUUAAUACCCCGCUGUUCUGACGGUACCCAAAGAAUAAGCACCGGCUACCUUCGU